GGGGCCUUGCCAGGGUGUGUCGGGGUACCGGGCCAGCAGCCGGGCAGGCCCCGCGGACGCAGGGCCCACGGCGGGAGGCUGCAGGCACCAGCUCGCCCGCCCCAGACGCUCUUGGCAGCCGCCGCCUCUGACAUCACCCUGCGGCGGCCAUUUUCCCUCUCCCUGCGGCUCCAGAUGCUCUGGGCCCGGCGGCCAUUUUGUGCGGCGGAGGCGCGGGCACGGCCAGGGGGCCCCGGGAGGGGCGAGGGGGCCCGCAGCCCGCCCCCCCCCCCGCCUCCCCGGCAGCCUCCGCGGGGUUACACACGCGUGUGCCCGCCCGGCCGGCCGUGCCAGCUGCGGCCCGGAGCCCAUCGCUGCCGCUCGGCGCAAACCAGACCCUCGGGGUGGCACCAAGGAUGCGAAAAACAAGAGUCCACCCUUUCUGCUGUGGCUAGAGGGCGCCUGUGAGCCCCUGAGUUAGGUCCAGUCCCUCAUAUGCCCAGAGCCUUCCAGGCGACCACGUCCCUCCAGGCAUCUUUUCUGGAAUAUUCUGCUCAGUCACCAAUGUCUGAGGACAGGCUUAUUCGACUCUGACCUGAACUUUCUGGAUCCCCGACUCUGAGAAUUCUAGAACUUGCCCCCUGGAGGUUCUAGAAACCAGCUCAAGAAAAUCCCAGAGCCCGACAAAAACUCAGCGUAAGGAAUUCUGCAACCAGCCGUCAAUGGUCCAGAACACACGUAAGGGUUUCCUGGAUAUUAGUAAAACCGACACUGGGUGAGAUCACUGGGGACAGAUUUGGGAGCUUUAGAACCUGUCCCCAUCGUCUUGAGAACCCUGCUUGGGAGAUGUGAGAGCUGUUCCCAGAUGCUGUAGAGAUUCUCCUUGAAGAAUGCUAGAACCCACCCCAGGAUGGUCUAGAACCCAGCUCACAAAAUUCUGGAGCUCGACUGUGGCUAAGCAAAAAUUCUGGACUUUGCUUACGGACACCCAGAAAUCCAGCUUAGGAAAUUCUGGACCCUGCUCCUGGAUGGCCAAGAAUACACUUGAGGAAUUCUAGAUCAAGGAGCCAGCUUGUGGGAUUCUGGAACCUUUCUUAGGUGGCAAAAUAACCUAGCUUCAAAGACUGCUAAGGCUUCCCCCUUAGCGCAGUGGUUCUCACUGGGGCGAUGCCGCUUCCCGAGGGCACUGGGUGAUGUCUGGAGAUAGUUUUGGGUGUUGGUGUUGGAGGAUGCUCCUGACAUCAAGCUAGGAAAGCUGCUUAACACCCCACAGCGCCCAGGACAGCUCCCCGCAGGGUCAGCAGUGCUGAUGAGGGAAAGCCCCAGGUGAGACCUUCUAGAACCCACUCCUUGCAUUCUCAUAACUUGGGAGCUUUGAGAUCUGCCUGGGAAUACUCUAGAAUUCAGAUGUUCUAGAGCUGAGCUGCCCAACACGCCAUACGUUGGACCGAGUGCCUGAAAUGUGGCCAGCUGGAAUGGAAAUGUGAGUGUGAAACACAUGUUGAAUUUCACAGGCUCGGGACAAAAAAAGAAUGUAAAACAUCUCAGUAACUGCUUCAUAUUGAUUAUGUGUCAAAAUGACACUAUUUUGGAUGUCCUGGGUUACAUAGAAUAAAUGGUUAAAAUUAA